rnacentral:rRNA from 1 species
GGCCUUUUGAAUAUAAUUUAAGGUCUAACCUGCUCUAUGAUUUAUUAAAUGGCCGCGGUAUUCUGACCGUGCAAAGGUAGCAUAAUAAUUAGUUUUUUAAUUGAAAGCUGGAAUGAAUGGUUGAAUGAGAAAAUGACUGUCUCUUUUUAAUUUUAUAGAAUUUUAUUUUUUAGUAAGAAAGCUGAAAUAGUAUUAAAAGACGAGAAGACCCUAUAGAGUUUGAUAAUUUAGGGUGCUUAUAUUUUUGUUGAAUUUAAAAAAUAAACAUUUAUAAUUAUUUUGUUGGGGCGAUGGAAAAAUUGAUUAAACUUUUUUUUUGUUUUUUACAUUUAUUUAUGAAAUAUUGAUCCAUUUUUUGUGAUUAUAAGAAUUAAUUACCUUAGGGAUAACAGCGUAAUUUUUCUUUAGAGUUCAAAUUGAAAGAAAAGAUUGCGACCUCGAUGUUGGAUUAAAAUUAAAUUUCGGUGCAGAAGCUGAAAGAUUGGGUCUGUUCGACCCUUAAAAUUUUACAUGA